GAGUGGGCUGCCAUUGCCUUCUCCAUGCGUACUGUGGGAAAUAAAUUCUUAGAAAAGGCACUAAUGCGCCUGCCCUUAAAAUUGCUACUUUAUCACAUCUGCUGUUGACUGGGGCAGAGGCAGUGUGAAAUACAGAGAGCCAUUCCAGUAGGUUCUUGGUUGCAUCUAUUAAAACUUUGCUCUAAUGGAGCAAUUCUGCCUCUAGGAAGUGGAAAUCCUUGGGGCCAGAUAUGUUCCAGAUUUUAAAAAGGUAAUUUGGCACUUAUGCCACAUUCUUCAUCACUCUCCCACAGGGUCUGGAGGUGUCCCACGCUGGGGUCUUCAGUUCCACUUCUGAUUUCAGCCUCGUGCACACAGGUCCCAUCUCAAGUGUGGCUGGGAAGUUCCGGAGAGUGGAAGUUCCUUGGGGCAACCCUUGGCUAGGGCCCAGGGGCAGGUGGGUAAGUGCCUAGUAGACUCCAUCUUUCAGGUGAAUACUCCAGGCUACCCACGAAGUCCCAGAGGACUAACCGCCCCUCUGCAGCUACCUCGGCAAUGACCCUUGUUUUGGCUUCUCCCUGUCCCUAUCUUUCUCUCCCCAGUCCCUAGUUCCUGCUUCCUGGCAUCACCUUCCAAAUAAACCACCAGCACCCAAGUCUUGUCUCUGGCUCUGUUUUUAGGGAGCCCAGCCCAGAAUAAUCCCUUAAUGAAACACUUUUUAAUAUUCCUUCAGCAAGCUGCAUACAUAUUCACAGUAAGUGAGAUACACAAAGACGAAAUAGCCUCACAUCGAUUUGGGUCAGGUUUGCUGCCAUCUAGGUAAAGAGAAGUUCUUCUGAGCACCAGAAUGUUAUGGCUGCGGAUAAGGGCCCGGCCUGUACUUGCCUGGUAUACAGAGGUGCACCCUCUCAGGCUUGGUUAAGUCAGUGUGAGUGGGGAAUGUCUUGGUGCCAUGGAUGCUCCCAGAAGUGCCCAAGGACACAACAGUGACCAGGACUUUGAGGGCCUGCCCCCAAGGAGCUGACAUCUAAGCAGGAGGAGACAAUCGACAAAUACAGGUAGGUAAACAAGGUAAUUUGACCUCUGGUAACACUGGGGAAGGAGAUCCCAGCGUGAUUACAGGUGAUGGGGUGCUCAGGGGAGGCCCAUCUCUGGAGGUUUCUGAGCAGGAAGGGGACAAGGAGAAGGAGCCCCGGACACACAAUUUGGCGACGGGGAAGAGCAGAUUCACUUUCCUAAGACAGGAUUGGGUUUGCCCUGUUUGAGGAAGAGCAAGGAUGCCAAAUGGGUAAGCACAAGAUCCUGCCAGCAGGGCGAAGGGAAGAGCCCUAGUGAAGGCUUUCUAGCUUCCAACAGCAGAGGGAGGUACUGAGGGGCUUCGAGCAGGGAGCACCAUGAUCUGAUUUGGAAGAGCCCUCUGCAUAAUGCUCAGGGAGCGGAUGGGAGUUAGUGGCAACAGUGCAAACUCAGAAUCAGCAGAGUGGUAUCUUCUGUCCACCGGCACCCAUGCCCCUCUUGUCUUAACAAUCACACCACCUGUCCUGGGCCCUCUGGCCUCUAGCAACUGCUUCCGGGAACACAAGCCCCGCCCCCGCCGCCACCACCACGGGUGCUCUGAUUGGCCUAAGGAUGACACUUCCUCUGUCAGUGAUAGGUCAAGAGUAUGCAUGUGGCCAACCCCACCCAAUGAAACAUCAGGGAAAGCAACCAGGACUCUGAUGCGGAGUCUACCGACACAGCCAGCUUGGCGGUGAUGUCUGCUACACCACUGAGGUGGGGGUGAGCACAACGAGGGAAGAGGCUGCUUCCUGCACCCCGGAACCCAAAGCUCACUCCAGGCUUCCUGUUGCGCUGAAAUGGGGAUAUGCUUGUGGUCGACGUGAGACUGAGCAGGGGUUUCUGUUACUUGCAGCAGGAAACCUUUGAUGGACAAGCAAAAUGCCUAUCAGAAGGGAAGUCUUAGCAAAUCAGGGCACGUCGGUAUUGUGGAACAUGGCAGAGCCAUUGUAAAGAAGAGCAGGAUCCUUGUGUCUAAAAAGGGAACCAGCCACAGGAGAUAAUUCUGGUUCUCAACCAGGAAUUAUUUUCUCCCCAGGCUACCGUUUAUUCCUUCCACUGUUGACAGACACUUGGGUGGCUUCUAGUCUGGCACUGUGAUGAACGAAGCUGUGCUGCAUCCUUUUCUGGACAACACCCAGGCUGAGGUCAUAGAAGGGAGACUGCUGUAAACUGGCUCAAGGCUGAGAAGGUAAUGGACACUCUUUGCAUUAUAUAAUACAGUACAGGAUAAAGAACACCCUUAGCCAGAGGUUGAUCUUUGCAGUGUAAAAGGUCUGGUUGCUUUUUAAAGAAGUGCUGCUAUUGGACUGGACCCCAUGAGGGCUCUGCUCUUCCCCCCUCUCCUUGAGGACCUCAUUGCCUGCACCUCCUCCCCUGCCCCAUUCCCCACCAGAGCAGUUGCAGGACUGGAUAAAGCUGAGAAGGACAGGAAAGCCCAUGUGGAAGGCUGGAGGCAAGAGGAGGCAGGAUUUUGGUGAGACAGGGAAUGAAAAAGAAUCGAGGUAUGGGUAUGGAGUGGAAGGUGAGGAAUGUGAAGGGGGGGAGGGUCCUGGGAAAGCACUUCCUGCUGCCAUAGGUGGAACAAGUUCAGUGGACAUUACCCCGUGGACCUCCCUCUGUUCUCCAGAGUCACUUCUUUCCUGCUGCCACUGUGCCUGUGCCACCAGCAUCUCUUGCCUGCAUCUCUGCAACAUCCCUUGCCAACAUCCCUUUAACUGGCCUCCUAGCUUCUAUUCUUCCCACCCCACCCUCAACAACCCAUUCUGUGCCAGCCACCAGAAUAUGGAGAUCUUUUACAGGAACAAAAGAACACAUUUCUCUUGUGCUUAAAAGCUCUACUGGGUGUUUGUUGCGCUUAGAAUGCAUCGCCAGCAACUUCCAGGAUCUAUCAGGCAAGAUGCAGUCCAGCGGGGACAGUGUCUCUGACCCCUUCUACUCCAACCACACUGGCUGCUGGUCCUCAGACAACCACAAGUUCUAGCCUCAGGGCAUCUGUAUUUUCAAUCACUCCAUCCAGAAUAAUGCGCCCCAAACCCUGUCAUAUCAGCUUCUUGUCAUUCCAGCCCCAUUUCCGUGUCACCUCCCCCGAGGUGUCUUCCCAGAGUCCUCGAAGCUGGCCUUGUCCUGAAGCAUUAUCCUGUCCCUCUGUUUUCUUUCUUUCCUACUGCUGGUCUCUCUGAAAUGAUCUACUGUAGCACUUCCCCGUUUGUAGACUGAGACAAGAGGACUUGUCCGUCAGUUUCUUUGCUGUGCCCAGAGUCCCAGCAUGCUCCUGGCAUGCAGUAGGAACUUGACACUGACUCCCCCCCAAAGAUUCCUGGAGUCUGGACCGAUGGGAGAGCCCCUGGGAUCCUGUGUGUCCUCCAUCAGCUGAUGGAGUGUGCAUUGUGUGGAGAAGGGUCUUCUUGUUGGGGAUUCUUGUUACCUGGGUAAUUAAAAAAUAAUUUAAA